rnacentral:rRNA from 1 species
GUCGAGAAUCUUCCGCAAUGCGCGAAAGCGUGACGGAGCGACACCGCGUGAUGGAUGAAGUCCUUCGGGGCGUGAACAUCUUUUAUAAAGGAGGAAAUUUUUGAAGUUACUUUAUGAAUAAGGGGCUCCCAAUCUCGUGCCAGCAGGAGCGGUAAUACGAGAGCCUCAAGCGUUAUCCGGAAUCAUUGGGCGUAAAGGGUGCGUAGGUGGUUUGAUUAGUCUCCCGUUAAAACUUCGAGCUUAACUCGAAAAGAGCGGGGGAAACGGUCAAACUAGAGUAUGUGAGAGGUGUGUGGAACUCAUGGUGUAGGGGUGAAAUCCGUUGAUAUCAUGGGGAACACCAAAAGCGAAGGCAGCACACUGGCACAUCACUGACACUGAGGCACGAAACCUAAGGUAGCGAAUGGGAUUAGAUACCCGAGUAGUCC